UGGCGACGGGUGAGUACACGUGGGCAAUCUGCCCUUCACUCUGGGACAAGCCCUGGAAACGGGGUCUAAUACCGGAUACGACUACCGACCGCAUGGUCUGGUGGUGGAAAGCUCCGGCGGUGAAGGAUGAGCCCGCGGCCUAUCAGCUUGUUGGUGGGGUGAUGGCCUACCAAGGCGACGACGGGUAGCCGGCCUGAGAGGGCGACCGGCCACACUGGGACUGAGACACGGCCCAGACUCCUACGGGAGGCAGCAGUGGGGAAUAUUGCACAAUGGGCGAAAGCCUGAUGCAGCGACGCCGCGUGAGGGAUGACGGCCUUCGGGUUGUAAACCUCUUUCAGCAGGGAAGAAGCGAGAGUGACGGUACCUGCAGAAGAAGCGCCGGCUAACUACGUGCCAGCAGCCGGGGGUAAUACG
rnacentral:rRNA from 1 species